UAGGGAAUAUUGGACAAUGGGCGCAAGCCUGAUCCAGCCAUGCCGCGUGGGUGAUGAAGGCCUUAGGGUUGUAAAGCCCUUUCGGCGGGGAAGAUAAUGACGGUACCCGCAGAAGAAGCCCCGGCUAACUUCGUGCCAGCAGCCGCGGUAAUACGAAGGGGGCUAGCGUUGCUCGGAAUUACUGGGCGUAAAGCGCACGUAGGCGGCUUGUUAAGUCGGGGGUGAAAUCCCGGAGCUCAACUCCGGAACUGCCUUCGAUACUGGCAAGCUCGAGUCCGGGAGAGGUGAGUGGAACUGCGAAUGUAGAGGUGAAAUUCGUAGAUAUUCGCAAGAACACCAGUGGCGAAGGCGGCUCACUGGCCCGGUAUUGACGCUGAGGUGCGAAAGCGUGGGGAGCAAACA
rnacentral:rRNA from 1 species